UACAGAGGUCUCAAGCGUUGUUCGGAUUUACUGGGCGUAAAGGGCGCGUAGGCGGCCAGCACAAGUCAGUUGUGAAAUCUCCGGGCUUAACUCGGAAAGGUCAACUGAUACUGUGCGGCUAGAGUGCAGAAGGGGCAACUGGAAUUCUCGGUGUAGCGGUGAAAUGCGUAGAUAUCAGGAAGAACACCCGUGGCGAAGGCGGCUCUCUGGUACGUGACUGACGCUGAGACGCGAAAGCGUGGGGAGCGAACAGG
rnacentral:rRNA from 1 species